AUUUAAGUAGCUUAUAUAAUUAGAGCAAGGUUUUGAAGCAGCUUAGGAAAUUUGUUAAAUUCUUAAAUA
rnacentral:tRNA from 1 species